AUUGAACGCUAGCGGGAUGCCUUACACAUGCAAGUCGAACGGAGUGGCGAACGGGUGAGUAAUGUAUCGGAACGUGCCCCGUAGCGGGGGAUAACUACGCGGAAGCGUAGCUAAUACCACCUACUCUUGGAGCGGCCGAUAUCGGAUUAGGUUGAUUGUGGGGUAACGGCACACCAAGGCGACGAUCCGUAGCUGGGUUGAGUGGACGACCAGCCACACUGGGAUUGAGACACGGCCCAGAAUCCUACGGGAGGGAGGAGGGGGGAAUUUUGGACAAUGGGGGAAACCCUGAUCCAGCCAUCCCGGGUGUGCGAUGAAGGUCUUCGGGUUGUAAAGCACGUUUGGCAGGAAAGCGGUACCUGCAGAAUAAGCACCGGCUAACUACGUGCCAGCAGCCGCGGUAAUAC
rnacentral:rRNA from 1 species